UACAGAGGGGGCAAGCGUUGUUCGGAAUUACUGGGCGUAAAGGGCGCGUAGGCGGCCUGUUAAGUCGAACGUGAAAUCCCCGGGCUCAACCCGGGAACUGCGUCCGAUACUGGCAGGCUUGAAUCCGGGAGAGGGAGGCGGAAUUCCAGGUGUAGCGGUGAAAUGCGUAGAUAUCUGGAGGAACACCGGUGGCGAAGGCAAGUCUCUGGACAAUUCCUGACGCUCAGGCACGAAAGCCAGGGGAGCAAACGGG
rnacentral:rRNA from 1 species